CAGUCGCCACGGUAAUACGUAGGGUGCGAGCGUUAAUCGGAAUUACUGGGCGUAAAGCGUGCGCAGGCGGUUUUGUAAGACAGGCGUGAAAUCCCCGGGCUCAACCUGGGAAUGGCGCUUGUGACUGCAAAGCUAGAGUGCGGCAGAGGGGGAUGGAAUUCCGCGUGUAGCAGUGAAAUGCGUAGAGAUGUGGAGGAACACCGAUGGCGAAGGCAGCCCCCUGGGCCAAUACUGACGCUCAUGCACGAAAGCGUGGGGAGCAAACAGGAUUAGAUACCCCUGUAGUCCCUGUCUCUUAUAC
rnacentral:rRNA from 1 species